rnacentral:misc_RNA from 1 species
UCUCCGUUGGUGAACCAGCGGAGGGAUCAUUAAAGAACAGACCGCCGUCUCUGGCACUGUAAACCCCGUGAACCUUUUACCUACAGACGUUGCCUCGGCGCGCGAGCGGUAGGAGGCAUUCUAGGGGGUCGCCCAGCGCACCCCCUAGCCUGUCGCACCGCCCGCCGCCGGCAGCAGAACAAACGCUCAGAACCACGCUCGGCGCUCUCUGAACUAGAAAUACUAAACGAGUAAAAACUUUUGGCAACGGAUCUCUUGGCUCUG